GUGUGGUACUAGAAUGAUGGGUUAUGGGUAGUAUUAUAGGUGUGGUACUAGACAGAUGGGUUAGUAUUAUAGGUGUGGUACUGGACAGAUGGGUAGUAUUAUAGGUGUGGUACUAGACAGAUGGGUUAUGGUUAGUAUUAUAGGUGUGUUACUGGACAGAUGGGUUAGUAUUAUAGGUGUGGUAAUAGACAGAUGGAUUAGUAUUAUAGGUGUGGUACUGGACAGAUGGGUUAUGGGUAGUAUUAUAGAUGUGGAACUAGACAGAUGGGUUAGUAUUAUAGGUGUGGUACUGCACAGAUGGGUUAGUAUUAUAGGUGUGGUACUAGACAGAUGGGUUAUAGGUAGUAUUAUAGGUGUGGUACUGGACAGAUGGGUUAGUAUUAUAGGUGUGGUACUGGAGAGAUGGGUUAUGGGUAGUACUAUAGGUGUGGUACUAGACAGAUGGGUUAGUAUUAUAGGUGUGGUACUAGACAGAUGGGUUAGUAUUAUAGGUGUGGUACUGGACAGAUGGGUUAGUAUUAUAGGUGUGGUACUGGACAGAUGGGUUAGUAUUAUAGGUGUGGUACUAGACAGAUGGGUUAGUAUUAUAGGUGUGGUACUGGACAGAUGGGUUAGUAUUAUAGGUGUGGUACUGGACAGAUGGGUUAGUAUUAUAGGUGUGGUACUAGACAGAUGGGUUAUGGGUAGUAUUAUAGGUGUGGUACUAGACAGAUGGGUUAGUAUUAUAGGUGUGGUACUAGACAGAUGGGUUAGUAUUAUAGGUGUGGUACUAGACAGAUGGGUUAGUAUUAUAGGUGUGGUACUAGACAGAUGGGUUAGUAUUAUAGGUGUGGUACUAGACAGAUGGGUUAGUAUU
rnacentral:lncRNA from 1 species